GUCAUAAUUAUUCUUGAGUCUCGUCCUGAAGAGUUUGAACAAUUUAAGGUCAACUAUAACUCUCUAAAGGAAAAAUGGCCACUCUCUGAGAUGACCGCAAGGAUCGUCCAGAAGGAAGAGAGGAUCAUGAGGCAGAAGAAAGACCAUGUCUUUCAUGUUGGCUCUAACAAGAGAAAGCAUGACGGACAAGGUUUCCCUAAGCCUCAGAAAAGGCAAGUCAAGAAAGAAGGCACUAAGCCAUUCAACCCUAAGGCAUUCAAGGGUAAAGAAGCAGGUGGUUCUUCUUCUGCUCCUAGCAGCUCCACUGCUGGAGAAAAUGCUUGUAACUUCUGCAAAGAGGAGGGACACUAUCAAAGGGACUGCCCAGGCUUUCUAAAAUGGAUGAACAAAAGAGGGAUUCAAUACGAUCCAAACCAU
rnacentral:rRNA from 1 species